CUUGACAGCCUAGCUCCUAGUGAUGUAGUUAGUAGACUCAAGCAACUUCGAGUUGUACUCCGCAAAGAACUAUUAACAAAAGGUGUCAAGCAAAUCAGAAUCAGAAGUGAAGCUAAUCAAGGACUCCAAGAAACACCAUCUUUUUAAUUCCAGGGUUGGACACAAGAACAUAUUAUGAGGCAUAGGAGCUUCUCAAAGUAGUAAUGACUAAUGAGCAUAAUGCAAAAAAACCUGCAUAAACAAUUUUAGAAGCUCCACGGCACAGGAAAUAAGUGGACACAAAGAAGCCCAAUAAUUCAAUUGAGAACAAAGAAAUAAAACAGAAAUAUGCUAACCUUUGAAUCAGUGGCAUAACCUCCGCUUUUACAUGUAGCAGAUUGUCUUCUGCAUAUGAACAUAUAGAUAGAAAAUAAAAACCCUUCAUCAAAAAAGGGAUAACUGAAAAAUACUUAACUCAGCAACUAACACUUACUUGGUUCGAUUGUUGAGAGUGUCAGGAUUCUUUAGUUUGUCAACUUCCACAUAAAUCUUGAAAUUCUUUACUUCUCCUACUUCAGAAUGAGGAACAUAUGGUUCUGAAUCAGCACUUAAAACGCAAUUGUGGGGAGCAUAGCAGAUUAAUUACUUAUAACAGAAACAUCAUAAACACCAAAAUCCACCACACAAAACCAAGAACUAAAACAAAAUUAACACUAAUUCAAGAAAAAUAUUUUCACUUCUACAAAUUAGCAACUGGAAGCAGUCUUGAUUGAAGUCAACACCAAUUUACAGACUUGCUUCGUCUCUCUUCAAGGAAUGCGGAGAGAUUUUGAAAGUGAGAUUGAAAUCACCCAUGGAAAAUCAACCCAUCUUCAAUCGAAAAUCAGCCCCCAUAUUUAAAUUGAAAUCACCCAUAAACAUAAAUUAAACUUCAAUCGAAAAUCAGCCCCCAUUAACACCCAUCUUUCGAAAAUCCAACAACUAAAUCAAAAAUCAGCCCCCAUUAAUUACCUAUUGCCAAAUUAAAAUAAAUUCAACAAUUAAAUCCAACAAUUAGAAUCCUACCUCGUUGUUUCGUCCCCUGCUCCAGGCGCGCAACUGGCGGACUGCUCUGGUCACGACACGCAGGGCAGUGCGACGGCGAGUAGGGCAGCACGACGGGGUCUGGUCGCGUCUCAGAGGAGAGAAGAAGAGAAAACCGAGUUUGUGUAGAUUGUGGAAGCGCGCUAGAUUAGGGUUUCAAGUUUGGAGAGGGCAGAUCACGGCGGGGGAAGGGGACGGGGUGGUCUGGCGAAGCAGAUCGCGGCUGUGUGAGGGGCGGGGCGCGGUGGGACAGAUUGCGGCGGUGGGGAGGGGAGAAUCGUGAGAGACGGGAGAUGGGGAAUAGGUUUUAGGUUUUGGGAGUUGUGAUAGAGAAAUGUUAGAUUUUGUGUUUUUAAAAUAAAAUACUAAUAUAUGUGGAAUUAUAUUGCCACGUCAACCAUAGAGAAUUGAGGUAGAGGCUCUAGAAUUGCAGGGAUUUUAAACCUUGAAUUCUUAGACAUGCCACGUAGGACCCCGGAUUAAGGAGAGCGCAGGAAUCCUUAAUCGUAUUAUAUAUUGACGGAUUC
rnacentral:lncRNA from 1 species